AGAGUUUGAUCCUGGCUCAGGAUGAACGCUGGCGGCGUGCUUAACACAUGCAAGUCGAACGCACCUUCGGGUGAGUGGCGGACGGGUGAGUAACGCGUGAGAAUCUGCCCUCAGGAGGGGGAUAACGGCUGAAAACGGCCGCUAAUACCCCAUAUGCCGCGAGGUGAAACGAGUUUUCGCCUGAGGAUGAGCUCGCGUCUGAUUAGCUAGUUGGUGGGGUAAGAGCCUACCAAGGCAUCGAUCAGUAGCUGGUCUGAGAGGAUGAUCAGCCACACUGGGACUGAGACACGGCCCAGACUCCUACGGGAGGCAGCAGUGGGGAAUUUUCCGCAAUGGGCGAAAGCCUGACGGAGCAACGCCGCGUGAGGGAUGAAGGCCUCUGGGCUGUAAACCUCUUUUCUCAAGGAAGAAGAUCUGACGGUACUUGAGGAAUAAGCCACGGCUAAUUCCGUGCCAGCAGCCGCGGUAAUACGGGAGUGGCAAGCGUUAUCCGGAAUUAUUGGGCGUAAAGCGUCCGCAGGCGGUCUUGAAAGUCUGUUGUUAAAGCGUGGAGCUUAACUCCAUUUCAGCAAUGGAAACUAGAAGACUAGAGUGUGGUAGGGGCAGAGGGAAUUCCCGGUGUAGCGGUGAAAUGCGUAGAUAUCGGGAAGAACACCAGUGGCGAAGGCGCUCUGCUGGGCCAUAACUGACGCUCAUGGACGAAAGCCAGGGGAGCGAAAGGGAUUAGAUACCCCUGUAGUCCUGGCCGUAAACGAUGAACACUAGGUGUCGGGGGAAUCGACCCCCUCGGUGUCGUAGCCAACGCGUUAAGUGUUCCGCCUGGGGAGUACGCACGCAAGUGUGAAACUCAAAGGAAUUGACGGGGGCCCGCACAAGCGGUGGAGUAUGUGGUUUAAUUCGAUGCAACGCGAAGAACCUUACCAGGGUUUGACACCCUGCGAAUCCCUUGGAAACGAGGGAGUGCCUUCGGGAGCGCAGAGACAGGUGGUGCAUGGCUGUCGUCAGCUCGUGUCGUGAGAUGUUGGGUUAAGUCCCGCAACGAGCGCAACCCACGUCUUUAGUUGCCAGCAUUCAGUUGGGCACUCUAGAGAGACCGCCGGUGAUAAACCGGAGGAAGGUGUGGAUGACGUCAAGUCAUCAUGCCCCUUACAUCCUGGGCUACACACGUACUACAAUGCUACGGACAAAGGGCAGCAAACUCGCGAGAGCUAGCAAAUCCCAUAAACCGUGGCUCAGUUCAGAUCGUAGGCUGCAACUCGCCUACGUGAAGGAGGAAUCGCUAGUAAUCGCAGGUCAGCAUACUGCGGUGAAUACGUUCCCGGGCCUUGUACACACCGCCCGUCACACCAUGGAAGUUGACCACGCCCGAAGUCGUUACUCCAAUC
rnacentral:rRNA from 1 species